rnacentral:rRNA from 1 species
AGUGAACGCUGGCGGUAGGCCUAACACAUGCAAGUCGAACGGCAGCACAGUAAGAGCUUGCUCUUACGGGUGGCGAGUGGCGGGCGGGUGAGGAAUACAUCGGAAUCUACUUUUUCGUGGGGGAUAACGGAGGGAAACUUACGCUAAUACCGCAUACGACCUACGGGUGAAAGCAGGGGAUCUUCGGACCUUUCGCGAUUGAAUGAGCUGAUGUCGGAUUAGCUAGUUGGCGGGGUAAAGGCCCACCAAGGCGACGAUCCGUAGCUGGUCUGAGAGGAUGAUCAGCCACACUGGAACUGAGACACGGUCCAGACUCCUACGGGAGGCAGCAGUGGGGAAUAUUGGACAAUGGGCGCAAGCCUGAUCCAGCCAUACCGCGUGGGUGAAGAAGGCCUUCGGGUUGUAAAGCCCUUUUGUUGGGAAAGAAAAGCAGCAGGUUAAUCCCCCGCUGUUCUGACGGUACCCAAAGAAUAAGCACCGGCUAACUUCGUG